rnacentral:sRNA from 1 species
CAUGCCCCUUAUACGCUGGGCUACACACGUGCUACAAUGGGUAGUACAGAGAGUCGCAAAGCCGCGAGGUGGAGCUAAUCUCAGAAAACUAUUCUUAGUUCGGAUUGUACUCUGCAACUCGAGUACAUGAAGUUGGAAUCGCUAGUAAUCGCGAAUCAGCAAUGUCGCGGUGAAUACGUUCUCGGGUCUUGUACACACCGCCCGUCACACCACGAGAGUUGGUUGCACCUGAAGUAGCAGGCCUAACCGUAAGGAGGGAUGCUCCGAGGGUGUGAUUAGCGAUUGGGGUGAAGUCGUAACAAGGUAUCCGUACGGGAACGUGCGGAUGGAUCACCUCCUUUCUAAGGAGAAUAUGUCUUUCUCUAUUCUAUUGGUAAUGUUCUUAGAACAUUGUACUGAACAUUGGAAACUAUAUAGUAGAAUAAACAAGAAAAAAAUUAACUCUAACAAUUUCUUAGAGUUAGCUGUCAAAAAAAAUAGGUUAAAAUAAUUAAGGGCACACAAAGGAUGCCUAGGUAGUAAGAGCCGAUGAAGGACGUGGUAAGCUGCGAUAAGCCUAG